CCUACGGGUGGCAGCAGUGAGGAUUAUUGGUCAAUGGACGAGAGUCUGAACCAGCCAAGUAGCGUGAAGGAUGACUGCCCUAUGGGUUGUAAACUUCUUUUAUAUGGGAAUAAAAUGUUCCACGUGUGGGAUUUUGUAUGUACCAUAUGAAUAAGGAUCGGCUAACUCCGUGCCAGCAGCCGCGGUAAUACGGAGGAUCCGAGCGUUAUCCGGAUUUAUUGGGUUUAAAGGGAGCGUAGGUGGAUUGUUAAGUCAGUUGUGAAAGUUUGCGGCUCAACCGUAAAAUUGCAGUUGAAACUGGCAGUCUUGAGUACAGUAGAGGUGGGCGGAAUUCGUGGUGUAGCGGUGAAAUGCUUAGAUAUCACGAAGAACUCCGAUUGCGAAGGCAGUUCACUGGACUGCAACUGACACUGAGGCUCGAAAGUGUGGGUAUCAAACAGGAGUAGAUACCCGAGUAGUC
rnacentral:rRNA from 1 species